AUUCAGGUCAAGGUAUUAACCGGAAGUGCAGAAGUUAAAAAUUUUACAAUUUAAAAAUACACACACAGCAAGAAUGAAGACAAAACGAAAGAAAAUAAAGUAAGUUGAGGAUCAUUAUAACCCAAUAUAUAUUCCCAUGAACUCAUUUACUAACAAACAGUCAUAAAACAUAACUUUAGUGAAUUGUACUUAAACAAUAAACAACACCGGGAACGACAGCAGGUGCCCUUUGAUCGAACAGUAACUUUGUUUACAAACUAUUGCCCGAAUAUUGGGAUCUGUUUCUGUUUCCUACUCUGACAACCAUAUCAGAAGAACAGUUCUAACCUGCAUAUCUGUCUCGACAGAAGUUUUUUUGCAAUCUGUUUUCAUUAUUUGGAAAAAACCCUCACAAGAGGGAUAAACCUUAAAUGAAAUGACUAUUCAUUUAAUGAGGGGUCGAAUUCAAGUGUUUAAAAAAAAACACUUCUUUGUACAAAAGGGCACAUGUUUACAGUAACACUAUUUGCAGAACAUUUUCACACAAGAACGAAUACAUCAAUCUGGUAUUCUAUUGAACAAAUGCUUACUCUUAUUUAUUUUUGAAAAUAUUAAAGUGAACCCUACUUUUAGAAAAGUUGUUCUAAAUAUAAUGAAUUUUAAAAAGCAGGAACCGUCUGACAGUCUCGAAAUGCUAACAACAACUGUUCAGGAUUAAAGCAGAUUUCAACAGUUACAUUUCGAUAUUAUUUGAUCAUUCAGUAUAAAGAUAUAUUUUAGUAGAAGUCCAUAGUCCCUAGUCCAGAUAAUUGUGAAAUUUAUAAGAUGCAUUAAUGUUAUCUUGAAUCAAUUUCCGUCCCAUUAGAGGUAAGAUUCCUUGUCAUUCAUUUUGUCUUUCCUCUAAAUCAUUACAAUCUGGGAAUAGUAUAUCUAACAUAUUUGUUCCUGAUACAAUGUAGAAUAAUGUAGAGACAAUACAUAUAGGGUCCUUUAAAAUCACCAAAAAGAGCAUUUUAUUUCCUAAAAGUAUUUUUUUGGUGUCUUCUUAGUUCUAACAACAUUGUUUAUAAAGACUAUAAUUUUGAGAUCAUUUCAUAAGUUUUAUUCUCAAUUAAAAUACAAUUUUUGUGUUUCUGAUGUAUGAAUGCCAGUUCCUUGAAUGACAAUAUGCAAAACUUUGAAACUUUUGAUUUGACAGAGUUAUCUUACUUUUGCAUAACUAAAAGUCUAUGUCCUGUUUUGUUAUGGUUUAUUCAACUAAAAGUGAGAUCUAUAAUUGAUUUAUUGAUUUGUAUUCUUGUAUUUUUUGUUGCUUUCCUCAUAAUUUUACCAAAACUGUGAGGUAAAAUAUAAUUAGGACCUGUCUAUAUCAUUGCUAGACAUAGUGGAAUGUACCUUUUCAUCCUUUUUGUGUACAAAACCUUGGAUGAAACCCAACUUAACAGAAAUUCCUUCGAAAUGAAAAGUUUUUUUAAAAAUAUAAUGUAAAAAUUAACAUAUUUUAACAUCAUUUAAUUUUUAAAGCUUGUUAUAACAAUGUGUCACUGUGUAUACAAUAACACUUAAAAUUGAAACAUUAUUGUGUUUGUUUUGACAUAUUUUAUUCAGUUUUGUACGAGAUUUAUGGAUUAAAAUUCUUAUUCGUUUGAUAUUUUGGAUCAAACUAUCUUGAACAUAUUAACCCAUGACAUCAUGGAGAAUCAGUGGUGAGAUAAAUACCCUAACAGGUAAAUUGAUGUAUAUAACUUUCUGACAAAGACUGUAUAUACCUGUAUUAGAACUGACCACAUGAAUGUUGAUGACUCAGAAAAUUUUGGUUUUUGCACCCACUCAACCUUCUGGCCAUGAUUUUUUUCAAAAUAUUUACAUUGUAUGAUGUUAAUUUAGGCUAUUGUGAAUGUUCAGCUACAGAGGAGAGAAAAAUUGUGUCUUUUCUAAAUGUGGCCACUUUAGUACAAAAAAAGUGAAAAAUAUUUUAGAAUACUAUUCUAUUCGAUAGGAAUGCCUGGUUUAAUAUAUCUAUCUGUCACAAGUCCAGAGGACUUUUCAGGUAUGGAAAUAAUAAAGCAUGAUUUUCUAAUUUAUUAAGCAUGAUACAUGUACUAUACAAAAACUAUCCUUCAAUAAUCUCAAGUUCAUUUUUUCAAAAAAAUUUACAAAAAUUGUACAUCUUGUCCUCUAUAAAUGUUGAUAUUCAAUUCCAAAAAUGAGUCAAUGAAAAUGAGUCAAUAAAGGAAUUUGAUCUUACAAAGAAAAGUUUGAAUUCAAUUGGACUUGGCCUUCAAUAUAUUAAAAAUAUUAGAUGUUAAAGCAUAGUAUAAGGUAAACGGUUAUAUAAACGUAUCACUUCAUUGGUAAAGCAUAAAGGCAACGUAGAAAGGAGGCUAUUUGUUGACAAAAAGUCUUUCAAGAAAUAUAUAUUCCUUGCAUAAAUGCAUUUGAUUGUGUAAACACCCUAGAAUUAUUGUUGUGUAACUUCGGUAAUACAUAUUUUUUAAAUCCCCUUCAGCUGUGUUUUUCUGUAUAAUUUACCGAUAUAGAUUUAUAAGAUAUUGGGUUUUUAGAAAUGAACACUUUUAUACAUGUAUUUGUCAUGCUGUGAUUGUUUUGUUUACAUCUAUUUUUAGUUUGUUAUGAAAUUUAUCAAAAUAUUUUGUUUCAACUUUUAAUUUCUCAAAGGCAUUUUAUUUGACAUUUUAUUGAAAUACCUUAGACGUGUUUGAAGACUGUACGAUGUACAUUUGUAAUGCUUUGAUAGUUUUGUUGACAUCUAUUUUUAGUUUCUUAUGAAAUUUAUCGAAUUAUUAUUGUUUUGUUUCAACAUUUAAUUUCUACCAAGUAUUUUUAUUUAACAUUUCUUUGAACUAUUACAAUACCUGAACUUAUUUUAAGACCAUUUAAUAAAUGAACAAUACACAAUUUGAUUAAUACAUGUUCAACCAACUAUUGAGGGGAGAUAACUCAGAACAAAUUAAACACUCUCACACCUUUGUCUCAAAUAAUUUGGUUCAUUGAUUCCUCAGUUAAUCCCUAGAGGCUGUUCACUCAUUGAACUGUCCAGUCCAGGUGAUUGUCCAUACAUAAUAAAGAUUUAUUAUCCCCAGGUAUUGAAAAUUGAUCAACCAUUACUUGUAUAGUUGCUCAUUUGAACAGGUAAUCUCAAAAUCAUUAUGGUCAUUUUGGACUUUUGUUUGAUGUUGGAGUGUGUAAAUAAUGAAAUGUCAUGCAUACAGUAUAUUCAGAAAAUGAUUUAUUGAAAUGAACUUUUAAUGCUGAGGAAUUGUGCUAUAAUAUUCAACAUGAAUUGGUCCUUAUUAUCAGGUAUGUGUUAUUUUAAAAUUUCUGUUAUCUAGACAUUUUAAUUUAUGACAAUGCAUUUGAAUUUUUUCUCAAUUGUUUUGUUCUUGAUGCCUUAAGCUUUAUGAUAAUGCACUUAAAUAAGGAUUAAAUGCUUCAAGUGUAAGUUAUUAGGGGUACAUCGACAUCACAAUUAAUAGUUAAUGUUGGCAGAAAAUGGCUGAGCUGGUUUAGUUACAUGAAGCUAAUUAUUACUAUAGACCAUCUUUGAUAACUUGGCAAGGUUUUAUUAUCUCUCGUUUCAAUAUGUAUUGACUUGCUGUAAAAUGUGAAUUAGGAAAUUUUUGCAUGCAUUUAUUGGGAUUUUUGAAGAAUGGACAAAAUUCUAGAUUGAGGAUUUUGGAAAAGCUGCAUACAUAUACAUUGUAUAUAUGUGUCAGAUAUCAGUAUUUCAGUUCUUAUUAUUGCAUUUUUUGCCCAGUUGCAUGAUUUGCAGUAAUGAAACCUCACAAUUAUUUACAGAAUUCAAUUAAAAAACAAAGCUUACUGAUGUGGUACUAAUCAGUUGUGUAUACGUAGAAGGGUAAAAGUACAGAAUUACGACAUAAACCAAAACUGGUUAUUCAGGAAAUUAAAUGCCGUUUUCUCUUCAACUGUACAAACUCUCCUAUGGCCUUGAGCCCCUUGUUUAAAUGAAAUAGAUUUAGAACAUAAUGGUUUUAUUUGAUCAUUUUAAAAAUAGAGGACCAUGGCCAGAGAGUAAGAAAUAUCAGAUUUAAAAAAAAUUUGUUCAUGUUCGCAAUUUGUUUUACAUGUAUGUUCAAUUUUUUACAUUAUAAAUGAUAUAAUCUGAACAUAAGAUUAUGUACAUUAUCUAUCAUUCACCUGAUCUCGUGUAUGUGUGAAGUCAAGCAUAGGUCAACCUCCAACAUAAUGUUUCGAUUUAACAUUGAAGUUACUAAACUUCAUGGUCUACUCUACAACUCUUGAUUCUGUUAUCUCCCAUAUUUAUAGCUUGUCAUAUUUGUCCUGAAGACAUAUUUCUAAAAUUAGAGGUAAAAUUACUAUUUUUGGAUCUAGCGAAAUACAUCAAUUUGCCCUAUGGUUGAAUAAGUCUUGGUAUAAUUUAUAACAAGACUGAUACCAAAGUUUAAACUGUUACCUAAUAUUUUACCGGGCUAGGAUUGUACUUUCACAUUGUCAACUGUCGAUCAGCUGUUGAAGGAGAUCCACCUGACUGAGCAGGAAUAUAAAAAGAGACUUUAACUUUCCCAUUUCACCAGACAGAUUGUUGGUCUCUUUGGUCCAGUUCUAGGGGAAUAUUGUGUUAAAAAGUCUAAUAGAUAACUUUUAUUUAAUGAAGUUUUGAUUAGUUUUUGGGAAACAAAAUUCCAAAAAAGGUACAGUUAUUUAUUAAUUUCUUUCAUGUACAUGUAGAUGUGUUUUUUUUUCAUUCAUUCAUUAGCUAAUGUACAGGACUGUUAAUUAUGAUACUCUUGCCUUUUGUUUGAAAAAUUCAAAGAAAGCAACUGCUUUAUUUAUGAAGAUGUAACAUGCUAUUAAGCAGCUUUUGUAAUAUUACAUAUUUCAGAUCAAGAAUUUUGUAAAUGAGGCUAUUUGAAACCAAUUGCUUUGUCAGGGAUUUUUUUUUUUACAAGUGAAGAUCAUCAUCACAGUUAUCAAGUUUAUUUUUAUACCCUAUAUAUUUCUUUUUCCAAAUCAUGAAAAUAAGGGAUUUAUAUUUAUUGAUACAAAUCUUGCAGAGUCUGCAUUUAGCAAGUAUGACAGUGUAAAAAUUAAUUUAGACUAAGUUUGUAAUCUUAUCAGAUACUUUUUAAUCAUAAUUCUUAUAAUCAUGAUAAUAAGAUAACAAAGAUAAAUAAGGGAUAAUCUAAUUAAGACAUAUGUUAUGGUAAUCAGAAGAAUUAUUAAUCUUCAAAAGAACACUGUCCAACACGUCUAACCUUUUGACACCACCUGUUUAUCAUUCUAUGUGAUGUAUACAUUGUAUAUAUUUUGUCCUGUAUAUUUGAAUUAAUAAUGUUGUGACAACAACAACAAGAUUAAAUUUGUCUGAAACUAUUUUUGUUUAGUCAGCAAAAUUCUUAGUCUGAUGUUCAAAUAUUUUGCUAUAAACAUCAGUCAUUUGUCAGUAUGUAGUCAAAACUAGUAUUUAUACCUGUUAUGGUUUCAUUUUAUAUAGAUCUGGCUUUAUUUUUGUAUUUUUGUGUUUGAAGAGAUGCCAAAAAAAAAUAAUUAUCAUUUAAAUUAAUGUGAAUAAUUCCGGGCAUAUGAUAUUUUUUCAAUUUUUGUUCUUCUCCUUAUAAUUAUAUUUGUUCCAUGAUAAAGAAAUUUCAUAUGCAACCAAUUUUGGGGCCAUUGAUUGGUGCACUGUUGCAAUUUAGACUACAGCUCUUUGGGUCAUCAGAAUAGAAAUAAUACUAAAUUAAGUAAUCAUGACCCUGAGUAACUAUGACUACAGUUUAUUUACUAGUGCUUAUAUCAUCACUACUAUAUUGAAAUUGCUGAAAAGUCCAAUCAAAAUUCUUUGUCCUUCAAAGAGAAUUUUAUAGAAAUCAGGAUAUUACUUCAAUCAAGAGUCCAAUUGGCACGGACAAAAGCAACUGUAGGUCAAUGCACAACCUUUAACAAUGAGCAUAACCCAAACCUUAUAAUCAGCCUUAGUUUUUUGUAAGUAUAUUAAGAUUACUAGAGUGCAAAGUGUUAUUAUGUUUUUAUAUUUGGCAAGUUUUUUCCCUGAAGACCAACCAGAUGGUACUCUGAAUAGAAUCUUGUACAGCUUCUGAGUGGAUGAUACUGAAUUGUAAUUACUUUUACUGAAAAGAUUAUUCAAUUAAGUUUAAAAAAAAUCUAGAAAAUCAAACUCAAAUUUUCAAAGUAUCCAAAAUGUUAUUAAAUUUCUGUAUAUAGGAGUGUUUAAAAUUUGCCUUUUUCAUGAACCAAACAAAAUAUACACUGUUUUACUUUUACUUAUUUCACUCACUUUUACGUCAACUUGUGCCCAUUGGACAUAUGGCUGGUAUGCAAUGAUGACAUUUCUAGUAUAAGGAAUUGAUACACAUUUUUUUGAGUUUCUGUAUUCUUCAGGAAAUUUAAUAUGGAACAACACUGGUUCUCUAUGCAAAAUGCAUUACAAUUUAUUGUGUUCUUAUAACCAUAAAUUAUUUUUUAACAAAUAACUUAACCAUGUAAACAUUGGUCUGUUAUAAAUAUACGCGAUAAAUCCAGUAGCAUGUAGGCUUGACAAACAGGAAACUAUUAGGGAGGGAUGUUGUAAGCUUAACAAAAUAGAGGUGUAAUUAGAUUGUCUAUUUUAGUCAAUCUUGUCAAAAAGAUAGAUUUUGUCUUGUUUGUAUCAAAUAUGGAAAUGGGUUUGUUCACCUUGCAUCAGAUUUCUGUCACCUUUUAGUGUUUAAGUCUGUUUUGAGAUUGAACUUUGUUAACAUGGUUAAGAUGAAAAGAUGUUGAAGAAAAUAAGAUUUGUUAAUUUAGACAAUGGAGAAACAUUAUGGAAUAUAAAUUGUAAAAUUUGCAUGCUGAAAAUAUAACUUUAAAUUAGAAAUUAUAGACCUUCAUGUCAAAAAACCUUUUUUUUAAUUUAAGACAAGUUGGAUAGAAUAAUAGCACCUGGGUUAGAAAUGAGCCCAUCAUACACAUUUUGAACAUUCACAUGACUAGACUAGACUAAAGCUAAAAUGAAUUGAGAGCCGUGAUAGGAACCAUAAAUAAGCUGUGCUAUGAAGGACCAACAGAGAAUUUAUAAAAUGGCCCUUUUGGUCCUGGGUCCCUUUGGUCCUCUGCUUAUUUUUUUGUUUGAAUUCUUUGUUAUAAUCAUAUGUUCUUCAUUUGAAAAUUUCUUUUUUUGUUUUGAAUUUUUGAAAGAAUUUCAAAGGUAUUCACUUUUAUAUACAGGGAUUGAUUUACAAGAACUUAUACAUAGAAUUCAAAUAGAAAUAUGAAAGGCCUGUUUUCAUUUCAUUGACUGAAUAGUUGAAAUUUGAAAUUAAGAAAAGAAUUGUUGAUUUGAAAGCAGGUUUGAAGAAACUGUUGAUAGUUAAACCGUAGAUGUGCAAAAUCUGUAUACAUGUUACAUCUAUGGUAACAUUAGUUUAAUCAUGUCACAUUGAAAGUAAGAGGGUAAUAGAAAAUAUUGCAGAGCAACGGUAUAAUUGAGUACACAUGGUAAAGAAGUAAAACUUUAUAGAACUGUUAUAAUAUAAAGAUUUGAAUUCAGAACAUGUCCAUGUCAAAUUGAAGAGCAAUUAGUUUCUCCUAAUAAUAAGUUGUAAAUAUCUUACAUGAUAUUAUGUAAAAAGCCAUAAAGUUGUGACUUCUAUGUCAUAAAUACAUGUAUUACACAGGUUGUCUGCUUAUACAUUUUAGUGUGUUGGUGUCAUUAAUAGAACUUUUGGUUGGGCAAAUUGCUGAUCAGUAUAUUCUGAUGGAAUGAUUAAUGUUGUGAUAUGGUAAAAUGUAAAUUCACAUGCAGAUAUUGUAAAAGGUCAUGAUAUAGGUCAUGAUAUAAUAACUCAGAGAAAGAAUAGUCUGUGUUGCUGUGAUGAUUUUCUGACUACAUUGUACAUUGUCCAAUGAUAAUAUUGAUGAGUCAUGUAUUAGCAUUGCAGUUGUAGAGAAUGAAGAAUGAUGAGUCUAUACAUUGUCCACAUAUUUUGCAAAUGGCACUGGCAGGACGUACAAAAACAUAUUAAUUUAUUUUCUAAUACCUUUAGUCUUCAGUUGAUUCAACUAUCUAAUUAAAAACAAAACGUUGCAGGCUUUGGAAAUUUGAUAUACAGUCUGACAUGUUCUUGGGGAAAAUUCAAAAAAAUGUUUAGGCACUUUCUGUUCUUCUUUUUGGUCUUCAUGCACUGAUUAUGUUUUAAUUGUUGAUUAUUGUCUUUUGUAGGACUUGCAGACAUUUACCAGAUUUAAAUGAGGCCCAAACUUUCCAGCACGAUGAAGGAGCGUAGGCAUUCUGCUUCACUCUCCCUCGAGAAUCUUAUUAUGGAUUUUGAAAACCCCUUCACCCCUAUUCAGAAGAACUACAACAACGCUAUUCUACGACAAUCUCAUGCCAAACAAUUGUUAGUUGGUGUUACAUCAUUUGAGAUUUAUCGUAACAGAGUACCAAAGAAAGUGAAAUUAUUGGACGUCAAGUUAUCAUUUUCAUACCAAGAUAACUACCAAACUGAAACAGAUCUGUUGGAAAAGGAACUUGUCCGUAAUGGCAAGAAAUGGACUUGGCCAUUAAAAAAAGGGCAGGAUCACUUGAUAACUUUCCCAUACGCCCCUGGGGAUCGUGUCAAUCUAAAUUUUGGCAUGACUGUAUUCAAGACAAAGAAAAUGAGCGUGUUUAGCUCUGAGACUUUAACAUCACCUGUGGGAAAUGUUACCGAUUGUUUUGUCCUCGCCAAAAACAAUGGAGUAGGAAUUGGACUUCCACUUGACUCUGUGAUCACAAAUCAUGUGAGACUGAACUUUAGUUUAGAUGGCUAUGCUCAUCACAUGACCAUCAAACUUAAACUUGGUUUGAUCGAAGAAAGUAGCGGAAAUCCAUCACUGUGGCUGAGGCCAAUCUCUAUAGACAAACCGUUUAGAAGUUCACAGACUUUAUUGGAAAUGUUAGGUGAUCCAACUACCUUUCCUCCAAUGUCAAAAUUCAAUGAUGAAGAAGUGGUGAAACACAGAAGCUAUAUAGCCAGCUCACAGAAGUAAAUAUUUAAUUUAAUACUGAAUUUUUGAUGAUCCCUUUUUAAUUGACAAGUUAAACACCAAGGUCUUUAAUUGACCAAAGCAAUUUAAACUUGUCAAAAAUCAAGAGCAUUAGUCCUGCGUCAUACAUGUAUAUUUGUCUAAUUUUGUCUUCAUUGUAUUUGUCCAUGAAGAAAGUUUGAAGCUUAUUUUAUUUCAAGGUCAGAUACCAAUAUGAAAGUACCAACAUACUGUAAUGAUGGGAGAUAAUAAUCUGAUUUAAACUUAUUAUGCUUGUAUACGUAGACACCCUGAAGCUCUUGUCUGAAAUUUACUUUCUUUUCAAAAUCAUCCAAGCUCAAGGUCAAUGAAAAAGCUGAAACUUCAUUUGUUUUCAAGGUCACAUAUAUCUGACAUCAAGAUUUCACUUACAUGUACAUUUUUUGUCCCUUUUAUAACUCAUUCUAUCAGAUAAUACCAAAUUGAUUGGUUUGAAUUGUUGUUUCAGGAAGAGAUAAUAUUUCUGAAAAAUAUGUAUACAGAUAUCAGAAUGCAAGUUUUAAUUAUUGCAAUAUUCACCAAGUUAUGUUAUUCACAAUAUAAAACCAUAAUAAUUUUUGAAUUAACUGUGCUUCUCCGUGUUUCCGUCUGGUAUCUUUCGUCCCUCUUUUAAAUAAAUGCCAUUCCUUAAUAUUCCUGACACUGCCAUCAUACAAAAUUUUUGGUUUUCUGUACAUGUACAUAAGAUCUGAUAGCACAAAUUAACUUAUGUUUCUUUUAUUUUUUAUUAGAAUGGUAAAUUAUUUAAGAUCAGGAGUUUUGGAUUGUUGGUCUGUACGACCAUGCUCAGGCGCUUCUGAACUGCCGUCCGGUAUCCAGAUCAGAAUGGCCUCCUCUAAUAAGCCAAUAGCCUGUAUACUUCCUGUUGUGGAGAGAUUGGAAACACUACCAGAUGUAUGUAUACCAUUCAAUUUGAGUUAAAAAACAACAACCUUGAAAUAUUCCACUUUCAAAGAAUUAUUGUAUGUCUACUUGAGAAAAUGAGGUUGCAAUUCCCCCAGAGAAAUAUGAAUAGUAUGCAGCAGGUUAAUAAUGAUCAUCUUUCAAAAUACAGUGUGUAAAGGUAGCUUGUAAUGAUCCUGCUAAAUACCCGGCCUUGUACCUAAAUACUGAACCAUAUCUCAUGAUAAGAAAAUUAUUUCAAUUUCAUAUGUAAGUAUAUCAAAAUCUACAUGACAAAGGUUAAUUUAAAUUUUAACUUUGAAAAAUGAGAUGGCUUGCAUCAGAUAACAGCAGAAAGAUCUUUAAAUAUUCAUCUUAUGAUGAAACAAAAUUAACUUUCGGUCUUUAGGUCAUGGACAAUAAAACAUAAAACCAAUUUAAUGUGGGUUUAAUUUGGGGUAUUCAUAUUCAUUCCAUUUUGGUGUACUAUUAGAUGGGAGUAUUGAUGUUCAUUUCACAGGUAGAAUUACUGGCAGACAGUCGGAUAAGAAUUUAGAAUUGACACUUUGUGAGGAUGAUCUGACAUCAAGGCCAUGGCCCAAAUAUAAGCAUUUUAAAUAAAUAUAAAUGUACUUAGAAGAAACACAAUAGAAGCCAUUUAAAGGGGAUCAUUAUAAUGUAAAAAAUAAUUGGCGGGUCAUCAAAAGAAUAUAUUAAUUACAAAAAAGGUGCCAUAUGUUAAUGAAAAAAGUAUAAUAUCUUAUUUUGAAAGUAUCAUCCAUUUAAUUGUUCCUAAAAUAGUUUUGUUGGUAAAAAUAUAAGAAUUGGUGAAUGUUAUAAUUAAGAUCCAUGCUUCUAAUGAAUUCAUUUAUCACUUUUCAGUUGUCAUGUUUAUGACAGACUUGCAAAUUUAUUUUUCAUGCUCUAAAUAAUUUCUAUACAUUACUUAUAUAAUCCUCUCUGGAUAGAGUGUACACGUUCUUAGUGGUCAUUUAAAUUAUUUAAUAUCUAUUGAUAUAACUGCUGAACUGGAGAAGGUCCUUUCUUGUCAGUACACAAAAGUGAAGGCUUUUCUUUGAUAUAUUAAUUUUACUACUAAAAGUGUAUUUACAAAUACUUCAAUCUAUAUUGAUAGAGGAUAGAGCCUGCUACUGUAAACUAAAUUUGAUCUGAGUUUUAUCUGUUAAUUGUGCUUGGAAAAAAAAACGUUUUGGAAACUAUGAAAAAAGUUUUUCUAAAUUUGCAGCAUAUUGGUACUCUAAAAUAUGUAAUACAUGUACACACAUUUGUAGCUAGCAUACAUCAAUGUACAAAGUAUUUAUCCACAACUAACCAUAUUUGAUAGAAAGGAAACAGAAUACUAGAUGGCCCAUGGCAAUAAUGAUAAGGAUUUGAAAUGUACUUUUGACCAGUGACGUAUAGUUGUUAGUCUUAUACGUCCUAAUCGUCAUUUAGGAUGUGACAGACUUAGAGAGUUGUCUCAUCAGCGAUAAAAUAAACAUCUUCUUAUACUGUUAUUAAUGUCCUCUUUAUCUGUACAAGUGUCCAUAGGUUGCAACACAAGGGACCUUGGAAUUAUUGUAAUUAAUAUGUUUACUAACAAACAAAUAAAAGGAAUAAAAGCUGUGGGAUACAAAUUAUCCGUAAAUGAUACAAUAAAAUAGUACUAGGGGUGUUUAACAACCUUGACACGCUGCAAAAACCAUCCAUGCUUAAUCGGAACAAAAGAUAUAAAGACAUAGUAAGAACAUAAACCGUUUGGUCUGAAGUUGACCUUUCUAAAAAUAAUCACACCAAAGGGAAUGUUUCAUUAUUAUUCAUCUGUGAAUUGAUGAUCAUCGAUAACUUUGUACAAUGUAAUAGAAGUAAAGGUACAGAUAUUAUGCUUCAAAAUUGUUGUCCAUUUAACACACGUUUUGUCCUGUUUCCUCUGCAUAAAUUAUGAAUUUGUAAGCUAUAGGCUGAAUAGAUUCAAGAGAUUCUAUGCAUGGUCAGUUAUCUGAUUAGAAAAUAUGAUGGCCUGAAUAACACAAAUUGAGAGAAUACUUACUAUAGGCAGAAAAAUGGUUUUAUUUAUGGACAAAUAAACCCCAUCUUAUAGGCAUGGUUAACUAAAACCUAAUAUUUAACCUUUUAGGUAUAGAAAUUUGAUUUUAAUUACCAUAUUUAAGAGAAAUUUACACUGAAAUGAGAAGAUUGAUAUAAAUGAUAAUAUUUAAAGUAAAGAUGAUAGGAGUAUUAUAUAAAAAAUACCAUCUGGCAUUGAAUUUAAUAAGUUUGGUCUAUUUUAAUAUACCACUGAUAAAAGGUGGGAUGAGUACAAAUACAUUUUGUGAAUUUUAAUUUGCUUGGUCAUCAAUUUGGUUUUUAGUGGACAAAUGUCAAUGACGAAUGAAUAAAUUAAUAAUAAAAAUCAUUCUCAAACUCCUCAAUAUUGUAUCUUAAAUAAUGUUAAAACUCAAUUUUUUAAAGAAACAAAUGUCCUUUACGUACCAAGUGUCAUAUUCAUAUACAAGACUUUUUUUCUCGGAUGAAAGAAAUCCUCAAAACUGUUGUAUCAUGCCUUACAGCAAAAAGUACUUUUCAUAUUAUGCAAUAGGGCAUAUAGUAUUUGAAUAAGUGUUAAGGAAUGUGUUUUAAAAGUAUUUAAAUUGAUUAGUCCAAUUUUAAUAAAGUAUAUAUAAGUGUGGCCAAAAAGACUUUAAAAUAUUGUUACUGUGUGUUAUAUUUCCUUGAGGCAUCCAUCUAUAUUAUGUUUCAACAGGGAAUCAGUCCCAAGUUUCAAGCAGAUAAGAAAUUGUUUUUCUAUCAUAUCCCAUUUAAAAUAUAUUGUUUUGGCGAAAUAGAAAAUUGACCCAGGGGGAAACCUGAUGACCAAUCCCAUUUAAAAUAUAUUGCUUUUGCUAAAAGAGAUGGCAAAAUAGAAAAUUGACCAAGGGGAAAACCUGACCAUUUUACGUGUAUUUUCUAACUUAUUUGUGAUGCUGCAGUCAAAUGACCCAGGGGGAAAACCUGACCAUUUUACGUGUAUAUUCUAACAUAUUUGUGAUGCUGAAGUCAAAAUUAACGUACUAAUUAUUGUCGUCAUCGUGCUCAAUGACUAAUUAACUAACGUAUCUGUGACAGACAACUUCCUGAAUAUCUGACCUAAGAAUGAUGUCAUUUACACAUCAGAAUAACGAUAGUAUGUCAUCUUACACCUGUAUAGCCAUCAAUGUCCAUCGUCGUGACAGGUAUAUUAUACCUUUAUAUUACCUGCGUUUACCUGUCUGAUUAGUAUAGAAUAAAACAAUAAAAAUUACAGGAAAUAUGGCCCUUAUAACUUAUUUGAUGUGAGAUUUAAUCCUUAGAUAAGCAAAAAAUGUAAUUUAUUCAGUAAUGAAUUGUUUCAAGAUUAUGGAAAUUAGAUUGAAAUUGCAUUCUUGAGAGUUUGGGUGACUAGAAGAAUUGUUCUCUUGUGGAGAAUGACCAUGUGAGUGCUGAAUAUAUAUAUAUAUAUAUAUAUAGCCAAUCAAGGUUGUUUAAAACUCACAUCAUCAUAGAAAACUUGUUCUUUGUUGCCCUUGAAACAGAUACAAGUAUGAUAUCAUGUUUCCUCAAGUUUUUUCUGCAAGAGAUCUUUGCAUGUUCCAUGUGCAUGUACAUGCAUUGUUGUGGUUAUGGUUAAUAAAUUAUGUCUGACACCAAUUGAUAGAUUUAUUAGUAGACUUCAACAGUUUUGUAUCCCUCGUUUGAAAUGGUCACGGAAAUAGUACGUGAUAUGGGUUUAAUAAUUUAUAGGCUGCCAGGUCAAAUAAAAAACACAAAAUAGUUUUUUGCUGUUUUCCCACCAAAUUAGGACAUUUUGGGAAAAAAAGACUCCUGGGGUAGUGAGAAUAGAAUUAAAAUAUGCAAAACUGAGAAGGUCUUAUAAGAUGAAGUGUCUGCCCAUGGACUUAGGAAUUAUACUACAUGUAGGACAUUGCACUUGUUUGGGCCUUCUAACUAGGGAACUUUGAGGUAAAAAUCAUAGUGAGCAUGAUGGUCUAUUGUAUAAGCCUGGGAUGGGGUAAUCGUAAUCUGUAAUAGUAAAUGAUUAUACUAUAAGCUGUGGUAUCAUUCUGAUAAUGCAUGUUAUGUUUGCUGCUGGAUCAUGUGGAUGCAGUAUAAUGCACCAAUAAAUCAGUCCAAUGCUAAAUUCCCUUUGUAUUUAAAAACCUUUGUAUACUUUCAUUGAUACCUUUUCAUGAACUAUAGGUUGCUCUGACAUUUUACAGCCUUAUUUUUGACUUGCUUGGACUUGGUAUGGAACUAUACCUAGGCCAUGAAAAAAUAGUGCUGGGCAUGUUGUACUAGUAGUAGUAUAUAGCAUGGUAUCAUUCUGAUUAUGCGUGUUAUCUUUCCUGCUGGAUUGGAUGCUUAAUCAGUCUAAAGUUGAACUCCUUGUGUAAUUAAAAACCUUUGUAUUGUUUAUUGAUACCUUGUCAUGACGUUUAAAUUAGUACAUAUAUAGCAUGUAAAGCCAUACAUCAUAUUAUGUCAUUAUUUCAAUUGUGUCUUGAUUGUCUUCUGUCAGUUUAUAGUCCAAUUAUGGUAUCAAUAUUAAAAAUAGAAAAAAAAUCCCUGAGCUUGCAUUUUCUAGUCUACAUCAUUGAUAGAUGAAGAACAUGUAAUAUCUAGAAGUGCGCCAGUUAUUACUAGUUUGCUGGAAGGUACUUGUACAUGUAUUACAUGUUACACUUUUUGUAGUUAGAUAAUCUAAGGUGGUUUUAUAUGUAAAUAUUAAACGAUAAUUAAUUUAUAGAGAGCUUUCAUUCUGACACUAUAAAUCAAAAACUUCUGAUUGAACAUUUGUGAAUCACCAUAAAUUUGAAACAACUUAAGGGCAUCAUGUCUUAUGAUUUUUAUCUGGAUUUUCCAGUUUCGGAGGGAGAAUUCUAGUUAUUUGCUCACAUGAUCCUCUUCAGUGUGGAUCCCAAUUAACCAAACCUUUUCUUAUUUAAUAUGUUGAUACUGAUGACAAAAUUGAGGUAAAGUUUGAUAAUGACAAUAUUUACUUUUGCUGUUCAGGAGUUAUUAACCUUGUUAAAUUGGAAAAUGACACCUAAUGAAUUGUUUCUGGCCAAGAACACAUAUAUAUGAAUCUUCUACAAAAUGUAACCAAUUCUCAAAAAAUCAAUAUGUUGUUACUAUGACAAAUUGAGGUCAAGGUCGAUAAUGAUUAAUUUUCAUCCAAGACUGAGGAGUUAUGGUCCUUGUUAGAAUAUGAUUGGCAUAGAAAUUGGUAAGUCAAACAAGCCUGAAAGUGACUUCAUAAUGCAGAAAACUUGGUGUGCUGUCAAUUGGACAGCUAAAUUUUUGACUUUUCUCAAUCUAUUUUAGAAUGUGAAAUAGAUAAUUUUGUAAGGGUUAAAACUAUUGAUCCCCAUUCAUAUAUAUUUGACCACACUUUAAAAGUUUUAUAUCUUCCUGACAUAAGAUGUACAUUCCUGUUUAGUUAAUGCCAGUUACAACAACAGAUCAUCAGUGUUCAUACUGUUAUACAUAAAUUGAAUCUAACUAUAACAUUUCCUUGAGGGUUAAGGUAUAUAUUUAGACCAGAGCUUUCCUUUAAUAGCAACAUACAAAUACUCCUCAUACAAUAACUAUUUGUAACUUUUUUAAAGAGACAUAUUUACUUAGAUAUUAAUUAUGAUGUCUGAAUGGAAAGUUACCUUUAUAUUUAGUUAGCAAAUACAAAUAUUUUUGGCUGUUUUCUUUUCUUCAAAAAAUAUUUUCUUAGCAAAAUUAUUGAACAGACAAGUCACAUACAUUUUAUAAAAAUCGAAACUAAUCGAUCUAAUUUCCUCAUCUGCUGAUGUCACUUAGAGAUAUAUAUCCAUGGUCAAAGCUAAACAUGAAUAUCCAUAAAUAAAGACCAAGGUCUUUGAAAAUAGCAAAUAUAUCUGAAAAUCUGUAUGCAUAAUAAAGACUGGUAAAACUUAUAAAGAAACAGCCAACUACCAUAAAUAGUGAAAUAGUUUAUAAUAUAAUUUAGAGACAUAUGUCUAAAGUAUAUAGAAGUGUCACUGUAACAAGUACUAAAAAGCAAGAGUCAGUCAAUGAUGAUUUAAACAUUUGCUCAGUUUACAUCGGCAAUAUUAUUUUAAAAUUACAAUACAGAAUAUAAUUACAAGUCUGCUGUCUACUGUAUUUAAUAUUAUAGGCCUCUUUCUAUUGUGUGCGUAUUGAGAAGUAUUAAAUAGAAAAAUUUGUGAACCAAAGUUGAAGAGGCGUAAAAUGGUUGUUUAAUAGUAGUUUUAAUACUGUGCAGAAUAUAUGCGUAUUAAAUUAUUUGGAGGUUUUCAGCAAAAACAAAAUCUAUUGAAAGUUAGAAAAUUGUUUAUAGUGUUUUAUUUGAUUGAGAGGUCAUUGCACCAUUAUAAAUUGGUAUUCUGUAUAAGCAUUCAACAAUAAAAUUAUGUCCUUGGCAAAAAGAUUAUGAGAAAUUAAUGGCUUCUUGCAUGUGCAAGCUGUGUUUGUCAAUUUACAAUGAUAUUAAAGUUUUAAUUUCAAAUGUUCUAGUACUAGUGUUGUUAGGGUAAGCCUCCUUUGAUGUCCAGUAUAACAAUAGGAUAGACAAAUCAAGGUUGAAGUGAUAUUAUGAAAUGCAAAACAGUGAAAUGAUCCUGUAUCAAGCUAAGCUUCAAAUGUGUUGCGUAAGACACGAUAAAACAUCUCAAAACAUAUUAAGUUCCCACAAUAUUUUGAUUUAAAUAUAAAGGAUGAAUUAGCAGUGAAGUUAAAUGUGAAAUGUUAUCCCUUUCUCACAAUAUAUUCCUCCUGAUGUGUUUACAAACAAGGGUGUGAAUUGUGAAGGAUUUACACAUUUCUAUGCCCAAAAUGCAAAUUUGUAGUACUUUUAGUUUAAUAUUUUGGUGUAAACAAGUCAAACACCAAUGACGAAGUUGUUUAAAGUUCAUCAAACUUUGUCUCAUAUGUCUUCCUAAAUAUCAGACCUCAAGUAACUGAGACCUUCGUACUGAGUUACUCAGCUCAGACAGAGACCUUUGUACUGUUUGGUACGAGGAUAUUGAUAGGCUAUUGACGUACAAGAUUUUCCGUCAAAAUUUCAAAAAAGCAAUUGAUAGAAGUGGUUUUUUUAACAGGACAAUAUAACUUGAUAAAUUUAUUGUUGUUUUCUUAAUUUGUAUAGUUGUAAACAUUUCAUGACGAUGAUUUACAUUCAAGUUUGUUGGGAUUAAACUUUCUUUGGUAGUAUCUCAUCCACCAAUACCAAAUGCACCAAAAUCCAUUCAAAUUGAAACAGUUUAGUACAUAUGAUCUAUUAGGGCAUAAAAUUUGGACUGAAAAGUACAUUUGAGUUUAUUUUUUCAAGCACUUGAUAAUUAUUUACAACUAAAAAAGAAGAAUAGUGAAUUUAUGAUACUAUUAUUAACUGUACUUUUGGGGUUAAGGUACAUAUACUAAUUUUUGACUCAGUGAAGGUUACACUGAAAAAUCAUUCAAGAAGCUGUGGUUCUUUGGUGCAUAGUCAAUUCGUGGAGGUCUAAGUAAGAGUUACUAUGAUAGGGAAUGCAACUUCGUACUUUAUUUGGCCUUUUUAACUUUUUUGGAUUCGAGUGGUACUGAUGAGUCUUUUGUAGACGAAACGCGCGUCUGGCGUAUAUACAAAAUUUAGUCCUGGUAUCUAUGAUGAGUUUAUUGGACAACAUGUAGUUAAACUUGAUUUAUAAUGGUGUUUGUGCAUUAUAAUAUGCACAGUGCAGUGUCUGAUAAAAGUACAUGUGCCUUGAAUUGCAUUUAUUAUCCUUAAAUGAAGAAGGGAAUAUGCAUGUUCUUUUGUUGAUGGUACAUUUCAUCAGAUUUUGUUCAUGAGUUUGAGAAUUUUACACAAUAUAAUAGUCAUGAGUGUACAUGUAAGAACUUCAUCAAAUUUGUUCAUGAUUGAGAAUUUGUCGAAAAUUGUUUAUAAUUCUUUUAUUACACAAUUAAAUCUCAGAAUUGCUGUGGUAAUAGUCUUCCUCAAGGUACAUUUAGUACUUACAUGUAUAUGAGGUAGAAGUCUCCCCCAUGGAUAAUAGGUAUAUCAUAGACUUAUAUUAGUUAUAAAUCCUUAGGUACAUAUAUACAUGAUGAAAUCAAUGAAAUUGAAUGAAAUUGAUGAAUUGAAUUGCAUAGAUUAUUUUUUUCUUUUUCAGACAACACCACAUCUUAGACUUGGCUUACUAGUAAUUUGUGGAUCUAAACCUUACUGUUUGUGUUCAGCUAAAUGGAGAAGCUCAGGUAUUAAUCAAAAGUUUUUAUACCAUUAUGAUACAAAAUGAACACUAUCCAUAACUAUUUUUAGACUUAAUGCUUACCUUGGGACAUACUGCAGAUUCAUUAAUUUUUCGUUGAUGCCAAUUUUUAUGGAUUGAGGACGUAUUUUUGUGAAUACAUAUAGUUGUCACAUUGAUAUUGGCAUCAAACAGCAUUUGCUGAUUUUAUAAUGAUGAUGUUCAAUACUAAAAUCCUUGAUAGAUUGAGGUAUAUCAGGUCUCAAAAAGUGGAAAGGCUGGAAACCUAAUUUUUUAAAUUAGUCAUUUUUUUCUGAUUUUCACUUGACAAGUGGAAAAACCUGAAUUGAAUACACUAAGCUUACAUGUUUAACUAACAUGCAUGUCAAAAGUAAGACUUUUCUUGGCAAAGAGAAAAUAAAGCAAAUACGAACAGAACCAAUUUUGUAGGGAUAUUUUGGGGUUCAAAGCUGGAUAACAAUGCAUUGCAAAAGAUGCUGAAGAGGCAAUUGAACAUGCAUGCUUUUUUUUUUUAAGUUAAAUGCUGAUGAAAAUCAUUUAUGUUUUGACAGAUAAGUUUGACUUCAAGAUCCACUACUAUGAAAGUGGUGAGACAUGGGGACAAAGAAUCAAGUGGAAUUCACGAGACUUUCUGGACAUCAAUCAUAUCAUAUUAAACAGUACAGGACAUCAGUAUUUCUUCAAACCAGGUCAUGAUACGGCUUUACAAGACAUUUGUAUCGGAUUGUGUGGAAAAUUCCUUGUCCGCUUCAGUAAUGAAAUUCUUCCAUGGAAGAAAGAAAUGUCAACUCCAUUAUCUGAGGUUGAUUUGGAUUUGGACCAUACAGAUGAAGGAUAUUCUGAUGAAUCAUUAAAACUGAAGCCAUGUAAUCCAAUAGACAGUUGUUUGAGAACUAUCCCAGAAUUCCUCAGAUCACAUGGUUUGACAUUAUAUUGUGAUAUCGCAGCAAGACUUGAUGAGAUUCAGAAACUAGACCAUGAGAGAUUGGUAGAAAAACCAACGUUACGGAGAAUUAAUAGUGCUAGUAGCUAUGGUGACACGUUUCAAGGUUAUAUCAAGAACGAUAACAGAGGUUCAAGAAAAAGUCUCAAGAAAUGUAGCAAUAAGGACCAUCGUGGAAGUGAAGGUGAUAUUACGACGUCAGGUUUUGUGGAAGAUUUCACAGGUUACUCAUUUUCUCGAACAGCAUCGUACAGUAAUAUUGAAUCAAUGAUUGAUUAAUGACGGCUCAAUGUUACAGCUCAUUUAUUAGGAGUUCUUCUCAUUAUGUGCAUUUAAUACACAACCUUUGUUAAGUGUAUCGCACAUUAACAACAGUCCCGUGUACCUAUUCCAGAAUAUAAACUGAGAAGGGUGAACCAAUGCUUCUUAGUUUUACAAUGAAGCAAUGGUGAUGGAUGGUCCUACUAAAGGGAUAUUUUGCACACAAGCAUAUAUAUUUAUAUAUAAAUAGACUUCAGUAGAAGCAUAUAACUGAAAUAUAAGUUAUUGAAACCAGUAUUUUAUGUUCAGAUGUGUUUUUUAGCAUGUAGGAAUUGAUGUAAUUACAAGUUACAAGAACAUUAAAUCCGACUUUUUAUACAUCUGCCUCUAGGAAAUAUGUUAUGACAACAUCAACAUUCAGAUACUUGGUACCAUAUUGUACAAAAAGGCUUCACACAUUUGUUUGAUAUUGUCAUGAUUUAGUUUUAAUAACAUCUAUUUUAAAAUAAUUUUGUUUUGACAAUUUCAUAUUCUAAAAAUGCUAUUUUUGAAGUUGUUUGAAAUACUGUACACUUAGUUUAACAUAACUUUGAAACUAAUCAGUCACAUGCUGAAAGAUCACCAUUAACUAAUGACAUCUAUAUCAGUAUUUUAUCAAUACAUUGUAUCACUAAAUGAGGCUGUAUUCUAACUAAGUGUGUCGUGAUUGUUUAGACUACUGUUAUAUGAUGCAAUAGAAAUACCUCACUUUAUUAUUGUUAAAAGUUUCUAUAUUUUAUGUCAUCAGUCAGAGCUCAGACAUAAACAAGUCUAUUUUUGUUUUUGACUUAAAUAAGUCGAACUGUAUUUUAUUUAAAAAUGUAGUUUUAAUAUUAGACUUAUCUAAGUCAGAAAAUGACACUUGUUUGGUUAUUUUGUGUGAAAAAACUUAAUGUACUUUUGGCCAACUACAUCACCUAUACAGCAAACCUGUAUGAGAGUUACAGGACUUGAGCUACAUAUUAAUUAUCUAUUGAAUAUCUUACUAAAAAGAUGUUUACCUCAUUAGUUGAUUCAGUGGUUGCAUUGUAGUAAUUAACAUUAUCUCCGAUUUUUAGAUUCUCAUUCAUAUUUUUCUUUAGAAGACAAAGCAUUGGCUUUCAACAUUGUCAUUAUUGAUUUAGAUGCAUGACGCCUAUAAAUAGGUGGGCUUGAGUUUACAAUUUUGUCACUCAUUGACUUGAAGUUCCAUAUUGCAACUUUUUGAUUCUGUAAAUUUUUCUUGUUUAACAAUAUUGGACUUAUCAAGUCUAUUUUGUCUCACAUAAAGGAGCAAAUAUAAAACUUACAAGUUUAGACUCUAUGAGUCAAAAGCAGAUUCAGACUUAUUUAUGUCUGAGCUCUGACUGGUCAUAGACAUGUUAUAGGAAUAGCCAUUUCAUUGAAAUGCAAUUGAAUUUUGUGAUUUUGUUUUAAAUCUUCUGUAACAUUAGACAUGAAUGUCUUUUAUUUAUUGUUUUUCUUGUAUUUCGGGUUGCUGUCUCAUUGAUGUAAACCCUGUGUCUACUUACAUUCAUAUUGGCAAUACUUUUUAACUCUUAUAAAAUAUUAGGAAUCAUUCAAUCAAUAGGUUUUUAGGGGCCAUUUUCCAGUUGGAGGGUAAUAUUCAUAGAACAUUCAUAAAAAUGUGCAUGAUCAUGAUGAUUGUAUUAUUCUACAAAGUAUUUGGUUUCAAAUAGUAAAAAAAUUGAUAAUCCAAAUUACAUGUAUAGAAAGAAUAAUGUUUUAAUAUUGAAUCUCAACUUAAACAGUAUUUGUAUAAGUUUGUAAAUGUAUAUUAUAUUCUUAGUUUUAAAGAAUAUAUAUGUAAAUGAGAGAAUAGAUUUAUCAUGUUUCGCCAAGUGUUUCGCAUUUCGCUCAGAUAGGUAUAUUCUUUCAAACUCUCUUAUAUAAUUGAGUUUUUCAUUGAAGUCCAUGAGAUUUCUCACGCUGCGGUUUUUGUAAGUCAGUGAUAACUUGUUGUACAACAUUAAUAUUAUUUCAAUUGGGGUUGUUUCUCUAGAUAAUUUUAAUUCUAGAUUUUUAAUCCGCCAAAAUUGACAAGCUCAAAUAAUUGUUUUUGUUAUUUGAAAUAGGAUGUAUAUGUAAAUUAGAAACUCAGCAAAUUUUUAAUCUAAGGGAACAUUGCCAGUGAAGGAUUUUGAACUUAAAAAAAAAUGUAUUCACCUACUAAAUAGUCACAUGAUAGUCAUGUGAUGGUUUUUACAGUAAAAAUAGUCCAACUAAUGAAAAUAUCAAUAGUUACGACUUAUAUACUAGGUUAUAUAUUAGGUAGAACUAAGAUACUUUAUCACUAUCUGUUCGUAUUUUGAUUGGCACAAGUUCUAUCCAUUUUAUCUGUUCACAUUAACAAAAUAAACAGAAUUCAAACAAAUUAUUGAUAACACAGUUUAUAUUUCGAUUUGGAAGAAGUUAUUGUUAAUAAGGUGAAUUUGAUAUCUUUGAUUAAGUAUAUUGAACUUUCACCUUGUAUGUACGUGUAUUUUAUAAUAUCUGGACCAGAUUUAAUUCAUGUAAACAACUUUUAAAUAUGGGUGACCACAACAAAUAGACAAUACAAUACAAUCAGUUUCACUAAAAUAACUUCUAAAUAUUGGUGACCACAUCAACUAGACAAUAAAAAUAUAAUCAGUUUCUUUAUAAUUAUGAUAGUUGGUAUGUAGAGGGCAUAAUCUGUAAUGGCUAGGUUGUCAAGUUCAUAUCUUUAUAUCAUAUAUGUAAAUUCUAAAGUUUUGACAUUUAUUAGACAAAUUUGUAGCAUUUGGCAAAAGAAAGUUAGAUAGGAAGAACUUUCAAUUGCUGUGGGAUAAGAAAUUUGAAAGGAAUAUGGAAUCUUUUUUUACUUUUGGUUGGUUAUUUUCCAAAGUUUUUAUGAUUAUUUUUUUCAAUCUCCAGCAGUUUGGAUGUUUUAGUUCUUAAUCAAUGAUUAUAAUUAUUGCAUAUUCAAAUAUUUUCCAUGAUAAUUUACACAUUGGAAUUGUGAAAAAUAGUAUAUCUCUAUCAAUAAAUUAUUCAACCAAAACUUUUCAACAUGAAGUAGUAUUUUGGAAAUUUACUGCUAAGAUGUUGGUUGAUGAAAUGAAUACAUGCAUUACAUUUAGCUCAAUUUGUUUUUAUUCAAGGUUAAACUGUAAUUAAUUCUUGACCAUGUUUAUAUGAUAUAGGUUGUAUAUGAGUUUUAGAAGUGUGCAAUAGUGUUUUACAAAUGUAAAUAAAAAUUUGUUGGGAUAGUUUUAUUUCUUUUAAGAAAUUAUUCUUCAUUGUCUUUAUAAAUAUAUUGUAAAUGUUGGAACUUUUCUUAUGUAUAUAUAUAUAUGUACUUUCAUUUUUCAAUAUUGACAUUAUAUUUCAAGCAAUAAAAUGCAGCAUGUGAAUUUUUUUCUGGAAUUCUUGUUAAGAAUGUUUUAAAAUGACAGAAAUAAAAUAUGUUUCAAUGUUAGCUAGUCUAACAAAAGAAAAGUAUAUUUUAAUCAAGAUUUAUUUCAAUAAAUAAUUAUAUAAACAUAUAGUUGCCUUAUCAGUAUUAAAAAUUGCACGAAUUGAAAGAGAAAAAAUCCUCACUUACACCAACAUUAAAAUUUACUAGAAAUAAUUACCAAGAGGAGACACGUUUACGGUAUUAACUCUAAAUUCAAUACAAAAUUUGAUAAUGACAACCAACAAGUUAGUUUCAUAGUAAAUUGUAUUUAAAGUUGUUUGUGUUUUGUGGUUCUCCAGUGUAAUCAUUGGUGGAUAAAUAUUUGUUAUUUAUUUUCUUUAACAUUUUCAUGAUAUAUAUUUAGUCCCAUUUUUGUAUGACCACAUAAUUUUUCUGCAUAUCAUGAUAUAACUGUGGUUACAUUGUUUUAAUCUUUCCCUUAUAUAGGCAUGCUGAUUAUUUCUUUUGAUUUAGUUGAAAAAUCUUAAUAAAAAUGUUAACUGAUAAACAUGAUAAACACAAACUAAACCAAAUCUUAAAAUACUUAGAUUUAACUCUUGAAUUUCAUGGGCACUUUUGAAAACUCUGCUUGCAUUACAAGUAUUAAUAUUCAAUGAUAAUUGUAUUAGCUGUUACAGUUGCAAAGUACUAUUGGCUAAUGCCUUUAUAGAAUUGGUCCAACUUUUUAAUUUGGCAAACAGUGGUCUUUUUUUGGUUAUAUGUAUAUGAAUUACACUAGUUGAACUUUUCCUUAUUGACAUGCUUUCGUCAUGCCAUGCUAUGUCAGAUGUAGCCCUUAAUUAAAAUUAUGUAAAUAUUUAAUAGUCCCAUAUUUACCAUAGAUUUGUACAACACUUAGGCCAAAUAAAAAAAAAUAUGUGUGUUACCUAUUUUCUUACCUACCCUAUAUUUUAAGCUUAGAAAAAGCAUACCUUUGAUUUAUUUUGUCAUUUUUCAAUAAGCGUGAUUAAAGUAAGAAUUCCUCUCCUACAGAGUCAAUGUAAAAAAAAAUUGUAAAAUAAAAAUGAUUCAUUACCUACCUACCCUAAUAUUUUCAAAGAUGUAAUAGGAAACACGCAUAUUAUUUUAUUUUGCCUUAGCAAUAAAAUUCUUACACAAACCACAUUUUGCUUUAAUAUGUAUUAUAGCACCAAACUUAUAAACUUUUAUGCAGACACAUGUUUCAUUCUACAUAAGUAUUGCAUUUAUUAUAGAGUAUUAAUGUAUAUUGUGUUUUACUUCCUGUGGUUUUUGGGGAUUUAAUUCAUUUAUAGUGCCUUGACAACAGUGUCACAUUGUUUCUGUCACCCUACAUGUAUGUCAUGUUAAAAAUGAGUAAUUAGUUAUUUCAAUUCAGCAUGAAAUUUAUGAUGUAUUUUGUUAAUAAGACAUAGGUCAAAAGGUUUAUAGAAUGCAUCUUGUGCACAUUUAUGCACAAUAUAUGUUAACAAUGUAAUUACUAUAUUUAAAACCAUUAAAACAAUCUUAAUUAUUAUGUCAUUUGUUCUAGAUCUAAAAUUAGCCAGCUGAACGAUUCAAAACGUCAAUUUUUUUUUUGAGAUAUAAAAAGGCAAAGUAAAAAUGUUCAUCCUAAAUAGAUAAGCAUGUCAAGAAUUGUUUCAAUCACUAAUGAAAACAAUUUCACACAUGUACACAUUGGAAAAUAACAAAUUAAAGGAAUCAUUAUCCUUAAAUUUAUAAGUUGUGUCAUUCAAAGAUAAUGAAAGGGAAAGGGGCAGGGGCAGGGCUUUCAUUAAAAAACAUUUGGUUAUAAUUUUCUAUUUCCUUGAAUAAAAUCUAAGCUCACAUGUAAAAUUGUCAUUGAUUCAUUAAUCAGAUCAAUUCAAAGGUGAAAGGAUGAUUAUUAUAUUCAAAAAUUAUUAUUUAUGUAACAAGUUUAUUCGGUAAGAUUUAUAAACCAUAGAUUUUUAUAUCAUAUGUAUGCAAAGCAAUUGUGUCAAAUCGGUGCUCUUGUUAAGGUCAUACACUAUAGCAAAAGGUUACAGAAACAUAUCAGUCAUUUAUAUUACCUGUUUUGUCCUUCAUAAAUAUCUUUUUUUAAAAGCUGACGUUGUAGAUAUAGAAAGUGUCAUAAUUGAGACUUCGUAAUUAGGUGGUUAAUAUACUGCUGUCAAAAAUAUUAAUGAUUCAGGGAUUUCCCUUAAGUGUCCUCAAGCUAAUUUGACAAUUGUAUAAUUAUAUACUCUCUAAAAAAACAGUAAUAAUUUAUACAGAAAUAUUACAUUUAUUAUGAAUGUUUUUUUCUGUAAAAGAAAAUUUAAAGUCGUAUAUUAUAUUUACUCCUAACUUCAUAAAAUGUAAUAUUGUUUGUAUUUGUGAACAAGCAUUUCAUAUCAGUUUUCCUCAGCUUUUUAUUUUUCUAUUCAUUUAGUAAGGAAAUGUCCUCAUUUAUGCAAUAACCUGUGUCUUUUUUUCAUUAUACCAUAUCAUACAUUGUUGUAUAGAACUCAAAUGAUGUCCACACACAUGUGAAUAUCAGUAUAUUUUGUUUACUCCAUUGUUCAUUUUAUACAGAAGUUUUAUCAUGUAGCUUUAACAUGUUUAAUGAUAUUAAAGUUCAUCAAAGUAUUUUAGUUUUGUUAAUUAUAUUGGUUUUUCCCAUGAAAAUCUAGUUGGUGUUUGUUUAGACACACAUGAAAUGCAUUUCACAGACUUUCAAUGU
rnacentral:lncRNA from 1 species